GGCGGAGGCGAGUGAGGUCUCACCAGUGCCUGAGGUGGCCCGCCCGCUGUACCAGAGCAGGAAGCCUCGUCCUCCCGUGCCCUCGUCCGCCGUCAUCCUCAGGGUCACCUGGUUGCCGGGGGCGACUAAGGGCGCAGGCCGGAAGGUCCCGCAGAAGCGUCCAAGCCGCUGGCCCGAGGUUCCAGACCCGGCAAAGACCUCCAGAGCAUCAUAACGGCAGGCGGGGUGCAGCUCCAAAUCAAAGACUCGGAAGGAAAGGGACACAGUCUGGCCCUCAGGGACCUGAAGGCGGGGACAGGGAAGAGGACCUGCAAAGUCAGGCCACACACAACCCAGGCAGAGGGUACCUGUCCUUCCCCAAGCAUUUCAUACAGAUACUGGGCCUGAACAGAAAGGGACCCCAUCAGCGUGCAGAGCAGAGGACCUGGGCUCUGCAGCAGCUUUUGGCUUGUGCACGGGACAAGACCUGAGGUCCUGGAGAGAUUGGAGGACUGGGAAUGAAGCUGGAAGUGGAGAAGCAGACCUUAAGUAAGAUGCACUUGACCUCCCAGCUGCCAAAUCCUGGGGCCUCUGCUGCACACUUCCUCCUGAGAUUAUGAGGCCUUUAAUUUUGAAGACCACAGAUUUUAUCUAUUCAUGAGAGACACAGAGAGAGACAGAGGCAGAAGGAGAGGCAGGC